ACACGUAGCGGCCAAGAUGGCGCUAGCGGUUGGAGCAGGGGCUCUGCUGCGACCUUUACGGUAGUGAGGUUAGGGACGAUGGGAGAGCAGCUUUGUUCCUGAAGUGCCGUCGAGGAUUAGGAUCGAGUUUCUUCGAUCGUGAGGGCAAUUAUUAGUGGCCUCUAGCCCCCCAGAUGGCAUCUUGAGGAGAGAGAAUCCACGCUACGAGAACUAACAUAGUGGACAUCGCAGUUGUCCGUAGCCGAUUUGCGGGUUACGGAGUUGUUGCAAGUAAAGAAGGGGAAAUCCGAGCGUUCUCGCGUUGGAUUUCCUCCACGUGUGAAGUGGGAAUGGUAGUGAUAUCUCGUGCUAUCUCUGUCAAGGGCAAGAAGGAGAAGGAAUUUAUUUGAGGCCCUACGACGUGGUGCGGUGGCUCACGCCUGUAAUCCCAACACUUUGGGAGGCCGAGGCAGGCGGAUCAUCUGAGAUCGAGAGUUCGAGACCAGCUUGACCAACAUGGAGAAACCCCGUCUCUACUAAAAGUACAAAAUUAGCCAGGCAUGGUGGCACAUGCCCGUAAUCCCAGCUACUCGGGAGGCUGAGGCAGGAGAGUAGCUUGAGCCCAGGAGGCGGAGGUUGUGGUGAGCCGAGAUCGCGCCAUUGCACAGCCUGGGCAACGAGCGAAACUCCAUCUCAAAAAAAUAAAUAAAAAUUUUUUUAAAAAAGAAA
rnacentral:lncRNA from 1 species